rnacentral:rRNA from 1 species
GCCAGCUAAGGUCCCAAAGUCAUGGUUAAGUGGGAAACGAUGUGGGAAGGCCCAGACAGCCAGGAUGUUGGCUUAGAAGCAGCCAUCAUUUAAAGAAAGCGUAAUAGCUCACUGGUCGAGUCGGCCUGCGCGGAAGAUGUAACGGGGCUAAACCAUGCACCGAAGCUGCGGCAGCGACGCUGAUGCGUUGUUGGGUAGGGGAGCGUUCUGUAAGCCUGUGAAGGUGUGCUGUGAGGUAUGCUGGAGGUAUCAGAAGUGCGAAUGCUGACAUAAGUAACGAUAAAGCGGGUGAAAAGCCCGCUCGCCGGAAGACCAAGGGUUCCUGUCCAACGUUAAUCGGGGCAGGGUGAGUCGACCCCUAAGGCGAGGCCGAAAGGCGUAGUCGAUGGGAAACAGGUUAAUAUUCCUGUACUUGGUGUUACUGCGAAGGGGGGACGGAGAAGGCUAUGUUGGCCGGGCGACGGUUGUCCCGGUUUAAGCGUGUAGGCUGGUUUUCCAGGCAAAUCCGGAAAACUAAGGCUGAGGCGUGAUGACGAGGCACUACGGUGCUGAAGCAACAAAUGCCCUGCUUCCAGGAAAAGCCUCUAAGCAUCAGGUAACAUCAAAUCGUACCCCAAACCGACACAGGUGGUCAGGUAGAGAAUACCAAGGCGCUUGAGAGAACUCGGGUGAAGGAACUAGGCAAAAUGGUGCCGUAACUUCGGGAGAAGGCACGCUGAUAUGUAGGUGAAGUCCCUCGCGGAUGGAGCUGAAAUCAGUCGAAGAUACCAGCUGGCUGCAACUGUUUAUUAAAAACACAGCACUGUGCAAACACGAAAGUGGACGUAUACGGUGUGACGCCUGCCCGGUGCCGGAAGGUUAAUUGAUGGGGUCAGCGCAAGCGAAGCUCUUGAUCGAAGCCCCGGUAAACGGCGGCCGUAACUAUAACGGUCCUAAGGUAGCGAAAUUCCUUGUCGGGUAAGUUCCGACCUGCACGAAUGGCGUAAUGAUGGCCAGGCUGUCUCCACCCGAGACUCAGUGAAAUUGAACUCGCUGUGAAGAUGCAGUGUACCCGCGGCAAGACGGAAAGACCCCGUGAACCUUUACUAUAGCUUGACACUGAACAUUGAGCCUUGAUGUGUAGGAUAGGUGGGAGGCUUUGAAGUGUGGACGCCAGUCUGCAUGGAGCCGACCUUGAAAUACCACCCUUUAAUGUUUGAUGUUCUAACGUUGACCCGUAAUCCGGGUUGCGGACAGUGUCUGGUGGGUAGUUUGACUGGGGCGGUCUCCUCCUAAAGAGUAACGGAGGAGCACGAAGGUUGGCUAAUCCUGGUCGGACAUCAGGAGGUUAGUGCAAUGGCAUAAGCCAGCUUGACUGCGAGCGUGACGGCGCGAGCAGGUGCGAAAGCAGGUCAUAGUGAUCCGGUGGUUCUGAAUGGAAGGGCCAUCGCUCAACGGAUAAAAGGUACUCCGGGGAUAACAGGCUGAUACCGCCCAAGAGUUCAUAUCGACGGCGGUGUUUGGCACCUCGAUGUCGGCUCAUCACAUCCUGGGGCUGAAGUAGGUCCCAAGGGUAUGGCUGUUCGCCAUUUAAAGUGGUACGCGAGCUGGGUUUAGAACGUCGUGAGACAGUUCGGUCCCUAUCUGCCGUGGGCGCUGGAGAACUGAGGGGGGCUGCUCCUAGUACGAGAGGACCGGAGUGGACGCAUCACUGGUGUUCGGGUUGUCAUGCCAAUGGCACUGCCCGGUAGCUAAAUGCGGAAGAGAUAAGUGCUGAAAGCAUCUAAGCACGAAACUUGCCCCGAGAUGAGUUCUCCCUGACUCCUUGAGAG